CAUUCGUAUCAGGGCUUCUCUCUCAAAUUCAGAAGAAUCAGAAACGACUCCAACUGUUCUCGCAAUCCAAAAGAAAGAAAGAAAGAAAAUCCAAUUCCAAUUCCAAACAACUCCGAUCGUCUUCUCCAGCUUACAAGGUGGUGGAGGAAGUUUUGUUGGUGUGAUAGAAAGGGGAAGAAGAGGGAUUGAAAUCGGCAGUGUUGGAAAGUUUGCAGCUUUGAUCGGGUAAUUUUCUCGCGUGAUUCUCAGGUCCGAUUGCACCCGUAUGAGAAUAUGGAUGCCAAAAUCAACUGGGCUUUAGAGCAGGCCUUCAAUUUGAAGCUUGAUUUCAGUGAGACUGGGGAUGAUUUUGUUGUUUUUCCAAGACUGAUGCUGGAAUGAUGCUCAGGAAAUGCUUUAAGGAGAGUUACAUCUUACAACCUAGAUAUGGGCUUUUGAACAUCAAGCCUGAAGGUUGCUCAGGAGUUAUUGGCAGAAGAUGCAUUGAGGCAGCCAAAAUGAGAGCUGGGAGUUACAGUGGAGAAAUAAAACGUGACUUAAGUGUGGCAAUAGCCCUUACCCGAUGACAGAAUUUCCAUCACCUGAAGCUUUAUAACAUCAGAUUCCGGUGGGUUUGGAAAAGGAACAGAUUUUUGUUAUGGCAGGAAAGGAGAUGAACUACAGGGUUGAGUUGUUCAACAAAAAGGAAACCCCUCAUGAUUUUAUAAUUUGGACAAUCAUAUGCAUAAGUUCAAGGGAAGUAGUGCAAGCUUUACUGGCUUUUGUUUGAAUGUUAAUAAUCUAGGUGGAGAGAUUCCUCCUGAGAUCGGAAAGAUGGGCAGCUUGGAAGGUUAACUCUAUUUCUUUCAGCAAGGUUUUUUUUUUUUUGAUGAAUUUGAUUUUUGAACGCAUUUGAUUAGUUUGUUGUUGAUUGUGUUAAAUGACUUUAUGAGUAUUUUUGUGUAGUUUAUAUGCUUUUGUUGUGAAGAUUUUAACUUUGUUUGUAGGAAGAAAAAAAACUAUUGGUAAGUACUUUUCUGAGUCAUUUUUAUCAUUAUUGGUUUUUGACAAAUCUUUUCUUGCUAAGAACCCUGAUUUAACUGUAGGUGGGUAUAUUUUAUGCCAUAAACAGUACAAAGAAAAGUUCGGUUUAGGUAAGGUGUUUAUGAUGGUUUUUGGGUGGUAUGUUCUGUUUUGAAUGCAAACUUUGAAAUCGGUGUAGUUUUUGUACCGUAAGAUUGCCACCUUGCUGACUUGAUUAUGUGCCAAAGUGGAGAGGACAAAAAAGCUAAAUUGAAAAUAAAGGUUGCAGAAGAAAUGCAGACAGAGAAGAAGGGAAAAUUAUUGCUGCUAUUCUUCUUUUAGAGGCUUUAGGUUUUAUCCCAGCUUCUGUAUCUUUGGGAAGUUCCUUGGUUUCUGUUUUGUAUCUAUCUUUGUACUUAUUGUUUUAGUAGUGUACUUUUUUGAAUAAAAUUUUGACAUACAUCAGAAAGAGAGAGGAAAAGCCUUCUGAUGGUCAUUGGUUUCUCCUCAUUGUUUUGAAUUCUGUCUUCAUUAAUUAUGAUUGGUUUAGAUUCUAGGUGAAAUCAUUGAGCUAAAUCAAACAGUAUGUAGGUAAGUAGAAAAGCUAAAAUGGAUUUAUUCUAAUGAAAAAAAAAAAUGUAUCAGUCUUUGUAAAUGAAGAUGAAGGUUUUCCAAUUGGACAGAUAAUGAUAAUACUAUUGCUUCAUAAUUAACAACAAACAAUUGUAUAUAAGAUUAUGUGGGAAAGAAACUGGGGUAAACAACAAUAAUGUGAACUCAUAAACAAUUUUAGAGAAACGAGACUAUGUCUCUUAUUUUAUCAUUUUGAUCAAGAAUCAAUGAUUUUCAUUCACAUACGCUAUUAUUGUAAUUUGAUAGUAACAAUAAACCCCGCUGCAAAGCGGGGGCACUAUUGCUAGUAUGAUUCGAAACUCCAAUGUGUUCAAAAAUAUGUUUUGUGCCGACCAGUCAUGGUUU